rnacentral:lncRNA from 1 species
CGCGACUUCGACGAUCAUUAAUUACGCUAGGGAGGAAAUUUAUUCACGGACGUAUCUCUGCAUUUUGUCUCCCUCGCAUUUGUCAGCUCUUUCGGGGAAAAGGUGAAUCCAGCAUCUAAUGACAGUACGCGAUAUCAAUUCCAACUGACUUUACUUGUAGCAGACGUGGUUAGAAAGUCCGAAGUCGUUUUUGCUCAAGGAGCUGUGUAAUUUUAUUUUUGUUCAACUGAAUAUAGUAGUGUAGUUGGUUGCUUUAAUAUAUGACAUUUUGUUUUCGCAAACAAAAAAAGGUUG